UGCAACUUUCAAGUUCAUUGCUCACUUUCACCAUGGUGAGGAUUGGUCCAGACAGUUGCCACAGUAAAAAUCUGUAGCUCAUGGGCCUCCAAACUCUUUGUGGGCUCCAGGGAUAGUUUUGCUACACACACCC